CCCAGGCUGCGCCUGAUAAAAAAAUUCUUCGGACUUGAAGACUUCGGAGCCCCCAGAGUUCUGCACACAUACGCAUAAAGUCUUCAAAGGGUCAUCUGGCACGGAUAUUGAAGGGACGUUGGAGGAGAGAUACUCCAAUUUGGGUCAUAUGAUCAGGCUUCUGCCUUAGGCAGCCCAAUCCCAGGAGGGGUCCUCGGCCGGCUCGACUAGAAGACGAAGGGGGCGUCACCCCGGCUUCCUGCGGCGUCGGUGGCGAGCUGAGGUGGAGGCAGGCUGCGGCAGCGAGGGCGACAGUGGCGGCGGCGCCAUGGCAGGGCUCGCAGGAUCCCUGCUGCCUUGGUGAUCCCGGGCUGACAGCCAGAGAGCACAGCGGCUCAGCUCCUGGAGAGUGAGGGUUGAAGAAAGUGGAGGGCAGCCGCCCGCGCCCGCUGGCUCCCAUUAGGUCGGUUCCUGCAGCGGUGCCCGGCGGCCUUGGCGAAGGCCCUGCCCGGCAGAGAUCAUGUAUUGCCUCCAGUGGCUGCUGCCCGUCCUCCUCAUCCCCAAGCCCCUCAACCCCGCCCUGUGGUUCAGCCACUCCAUGUUCAUGGGCUUCUACCUGCUCAGCUUCCUCCUGGAGCGGAAGCCUUGCACAAUUUGUGCCUUGGUUUUCCUGGCAGCCCUGUUCCUCAUCUGCUACAGCUGCUGGGGAAACUGUUUCCUGUACCACUGCUCUGAUUCCCCGCUUCCGGAAUCAGCGCACGACCCCGGUGUUGUGGGCACCUAACAGCCUGCCCAGUUAGCUUUCCAAGGAAGCAGAAGACGGGAGGGGAGGCAUUGACAUAGGUCAUAAAGCAUUGGAGUUUCAAAUCCCGCAGCCCCGCGGGUGCCACAUUCCUGACGGCGCCUUUUUGGCCUGUGAUGUUUUAUCCUUAUAAUGUGAAUAAUGGCACUGAUCGGUGCUUUUAUUGUAGAGUCUUGUAGUCGUGGGUGGUCUUGUGGUUGUGUCUGUUCUGUCCCCAUCUCGGUCCCCGGCUGUCAGGAUGGCCACCCCCCUCGUCUCAUUCCUGCGAGGAGUCUCUGCCCAUCCUGGUCAACCGCCUGGGUAUGACGUAGGCAGAUAAAACGCCAGUCUCAUUGUCACCUCUGUGACCCGUCUUUGACAGGGUCUCCUCCCUUCCCAGAAUGUUACUGUCUCCCUAGUCCCUCUCCUGGUUUCCCUUUAGUUCUCUUCUACCCCUUUCCUUUUUUGGGGAGCACCUGUCCAGGACAGGGCUCAUUUUUGCACUUAUCUCAAAUUUAAAGAGAUUGCUGACGCCCGAGAGCCUCGCUUUUUCAUUGUCCUUUCCCUGGUCAGCAGGCUAGACAGAAACAUGUCUUGACUGUUUGUUGUCCACAAAUCUCCAGUAUUUUUGCCACUUCACUUUUAAGAAAGAGGUAACAGAUGCGUGUUGCUCUUUCACCUGGGUGUCUGGGCUCAUGCUUAGCAGCCGGGCCUCGCUUCCUUUGCCCCUCCUGCUGCCUUCCUCCGCUGUCCCGAGGAGGGGCCUCAGUGUGCCUCCCGCGCGCUCUGCAGGAUUGAGGUGUGGUGUGUUCACGUUGACCUAGCAGUCCCCAGCCGAGUGAGUGGGAGAGCACUUUGUGUUUCAUAACAGCUAUGAUCCCCUUGAUAGGCGUUUGGAUAUUUUUGGUGUGCUGUGCGUGUGUGUACGUGUACAAAUGUGUGUAUUCCUUUUAAAGAAGCUUUAUGGAACGUGUUCUGAUUUUGAGGUUUAGCAAUAGCUAGCUAUAGUAGGUACCGCUGCAGUUUUUAUUUAGCAUGGGGAUUACAGAGUGACCAGCACACUGGACUCCGAGGUGGUUCAGACAAGACAGAGGGGAGCAGUGGCCGUCUUCGUCGUGCCAGGAGCUUCUUCAGUCCUGCGCGUAUAGACUGUACGUUGUGAAGAAUACACAGGAAGACUUUGUGACUGUCGCUUGCUGUUUUCUUUUUCUGCGCUUCAGUAACAAGUGUUGGCAAACGAGACUCUCCUGCCCUGCCCACUGGGGAUCAGCAUGGUUAUCCUUCCAGUCUAAACCAUCCAUCUUUCUCUUGCCUGAGGUGGGGAGGGAGGUGGGCCGGCAGAGGACAGAACUGGAGGCAGUGAAUGGGAACGCAAGGCCACACUUGUGGAACAUUUGGACUGCUAUUCUGGAGCUUUGAUUUCUGGUGUGUUCGUUGCACAGCUGUUUGAAAUGUUUAAUAAAGCUUUAUAAACUUUACUUUGUGGUUUUAUGUGGCUGCAGUCCAUUUGGGUCGUGGUAUUGGGUUUCUGAGUUGGUGGGGGACAGGGGCUGGUACAGAGGGGCUGAGUCCUUGGCGCCAGAGUACCUUAGCCUGAAAAUUUGAUCUGCUCUCUGGAGAGCAGAUGGUGGGGUUGGUGGAGGGGGAGCAGGGGCAGGCCAGGCGGUGAGCAGGAGGGAGUCUGAAAGUCUUCAGAGAUGAGACAUUCGCCUCUCUCAGCUCCCAUGGCUUCUUGCCUGACACUGUUUCCCUCCAUAGGAGAUUUGAGUAACCGAUCCCUUGACAAACAACUUAAGACAGCUGGAACUCUAAUCAUCAAGGAUUUUUACAGUGCUGCUUUUGAAGUAAAAAUAAAGUGAAACCCCUUAUGGCAUUUCAAGUGGAAAAAGAAAUAAAGUUGGCUGUCCAAGCUGGGGACUCAAGCGGGUAGCUGGAAGCGUGAGAGGGGUGGAGUUCCAUGUCAUUGAUGCACACGUGCUCCCUUGGCUCUGACAUUUGCGGCAAAGCCGGGUAGCUUGCCAGGACCCUGUGCUGGGUGUCCACCUCUACAUCUCUCCGAGAGAGCAUCCCAGGAGCAGUGUGUCUCCAAGGCACAGGGCUGUUGUGAGGGUUUAUUGAGAUUGUUUAUUGAGUUGGGAAAGGGGUCUGGUAAUUUCAUACGAGUUUAUCUGUUUUACGUAGAUUUUUAAUUUAUUGCUGUAAACCUCCCCAUCAUCAGUUUACCCCUUUUUCAUUCUUAGCGUUGCUUAUCGGUGCUUUCUCUUUUUUCGGUCAAAACUUGCCAAAGGUUUGUCCAUUUUAAGGGUAUUUUCAAAGAGCCAAACUUUUAUUGAUUUGUAUCUGCUGAGUAUUUUUCCUGAUUCUUUCGUGCUUAUAUUUCUGAAUUCUUCUUUUCCGGGUUUCUGGAUGUAUUUGGUGGUUCAGCAAAGUCUUGAUAAGCUGAGGAGUCAUACACGUGGAAAGGAUGGUUUGUUCAGCAAACACUGAGCCCCUAUACUAGGCUUGCUGGGGAUUUCAGGGGCAAGACCCAGGCCUGACUCUCCAGGAGUGCAUGAUUCUAGCAUAGUGGGAAGACUUAAGAAAAUAGACAAUUGCAGAUUCCAAAAACAAAACAAACAAACAAAAAAGGCUUUUGUGGCCUCCCUCUCCUGUGGAGGCACCUGGAUGAUAAGUGAAGCCAAGAUUGUUGCUUAUUUUGCUCUCCCUCAGAAAGCAGCUUUGUGUCUUAGGUCAAGGCCCCUGAAGAGUCACAAACAGGCCUCCUGCUGAAAGAUCUGUGGCCCUUUCCAGCAGGGAGCCUGCAGCCCAUCCCCUCCUAAGGCGACUGCUAGAUCAGCAUUCUGUCUUCCCAACAGUGCUUUCCACCUUGCCAAGACAGCAUGGGCAGCACCCUGCCCUUGUUCCUGAAAUGCCUUUCAGGAAAGUGGAAAGUAGAUACCUCUUCUGGAAAAAGGCAGGGGCACCAGGCCUUAGAGACCACACUCUGCAGUUCUGCGGUCGCUGUGGCUCCUAGUUCGAAAUGGUUGGUUGCUCACAUGGUACCUGGUAAUCACAAGACCUCAUGAGGCCUAGGUCUAUGCCUUGCUUUGGGCCUCAGUUUCCUUGUAGGUAAAAGGUGGUCUUUAGAGCGAACACAGUCUUACCAGCCCUGAUAUACUGGAAAUCCUUUCUCCUAGGAUCUUAAGGUCCUACUGGAUGCACUUUGAGGAAGGCGAGUGAGCUCUGGGAAGGUGGUAGUGCCUUUGCAGGAUAGUCUGCAUGUGCUUUCUGCAUUAGUCAGUGUACCAUGUAAGCCCUCAUACACCUCUGUCAGUCAGGAAGCCUUCCCAGACUUCUUCCCUCUCCCUGGGGCUGCUUGCCUACAGCACUUCUCAGCCCUCUGUUGAGUGCUGGUGCUAGUGUUUGGCAGACUUCCUCUUCCGUAGUGACUGAACUCCUCCCACCUCCAAGGGGGCCAGCAUUAUUAGUCUAUCAGUGGGUACUUGUCACCAUCUCAUGUAGAACUAGGCCUUGGGACCAAAUGGUGGGCAAGGUGGGCAGUCCCUGCCAUCAGGGAGUCAUCAGGCUAAUGGGAAAGGGGAUGACAUUGGGCAGGUAAUCCCACAGAUAGAUAUUUAACUAUGAAUUGUGGCAGGUGCUAUAAGAGAGAGUCUAAGAGCGGAGCUGAUGUAAGCAGGGGAAGAUUGAUGUUCAGGCGGAGACCUGAGGACAAGUGUAAAUGAGCAGUGAAAUAAUAAAUGAGAUAUUAUUUCUCACCAUUUAAUCAAGCAUCUCUGUGCUUACAGAUAAAGAGUCUGGGCUGAAAGUAAAAUGAAGGACCACCAGUAUCUGGCUGCCCUAGAAUCAGAACCUAAAAAGGCUUUUUGGGGUAGGAGUCAGUCUAUUUAAAGCCAGAGGACUGUAUUGGGAGAGACAAUUGGGAGAUACUGAGGGGGUCUAAGGCUGGCAUUCUGGUGGCAGGCUCCUGAGAACUCUUCAGUUUCCAACUGACUGGAACCAUCACAAAACAAGGAUAUGACAGGAAUAGGGGGUAACCCAAUCAUAAUAGCAUUUAAGGUGGGUUCUUUCAGUAGGGAACAGGAUAGCCUGUGAGCAGUGAAUGCAGCAGGGCUGUCGAGAAGGCCAUUGCCCUGACUAGAUCAUCGGGAAUGGAGAGAAGUGGCUGUAAGGAGCCAUGGUGGGUGGGCGGGGGGAAAACAGGAGAAAGGGUAGGCUGAGGAGAAAGGAGGACAGAGAAAGAUGAUAGAAGGAAAGUUGACCCCCAUUGAAUAGCUGCGGGAGAGGAGGCCAGAGGAGAAUUGUCACCUGUAUCGAGUCGGCUGGCACCCAAGGCAGAGUUCACCCCAUUACCCCCCAUCGUAGGUGGAAGGGUCGCUGCUCUGAAAAGGGGAGAACUAAGAAGUGCUCUCCUCAGCAAGAGACAGAAGGUGAUCUUAAGAGCAGCUUGUCCGGCAUCAGCCCAGGACCCCUCUCUCCCCAGUGUCUUCCUGAAAGACCUGAGAGGGGCAGGCUGUGGUCUGGCAGGUUUCAAGGGGGAAUCUGUAUCUUGAGAACAACUUCGAUUAUAGGGUGGGCUCAAGGGAGAGGAGGGCAGCUGGCUCAGCAGCAGCUGAAGCCUUCAAACAGAAACCCUCCGUCUCCCUCUGGGGAUGGGGAAAGGGCCUCAAACAGUGGGUGGAGGUAGACUUAGAGAACAGUUUAGGACCGAGGAACGUUGAGAGGUAAAGCUUCAGGGAGCCUCAGGCCUUAUGCCCCCACCUUUGUGACUCUGCCUCCCUCAGCCUCAGUUUCCCCACCUGUAAAAUGGAGAUCAUAACAUCCACCAUCGCCUGUCUCAAGGCGAAGUCUUCACAAAUGUUAUUUCUUUUCUUCUGUGGCCCCACAUUGCUGACCCCUAUUGGGCCCAAGGCUCUUGGGGAUGCAAUCUGAUCAUCCAACUCUCCCGCUCGUUCAUUCGUGCAAGGAGCAUUUGCCCGGCCCUGUGUCAAGCUCUGAGCACCUGAUGCAGAAUAAGACCAUGCCCUCCUUGAGAGCUCAGCUCAGCGGGAGGGAGGACACUGAGGCAGUCCUGUAGGCAGAUAGUUACAAUGCCAUGGUGUCAGGACUGUCGUGGAAGUAAGGAGAGCGAUCAUUUGGGAGCCUAUGUGUCGGCCCCUCAGCUUGACUGCCCUUAAUUAUUUUUUACAAGCCCCAAAAUGACAACAUCCUAAAAGGGAGAGUAACACUAAGGCAUAGCUCUUUCCUGAGAGGCCAAAAUCCUGGCUUUGAGUCCCUGCUUGGCCAGCAGCUUGCCCAGGACCCUCCCUGGAUUUUACUCUCUUAGAGAGAAAUCCCCGCCUGUGCAGCCUCCUGUCGUGAGGAACCAGUGCAGGGUAUGAUAAGAAUGCUUUGUCAGACAUGGGUUGGACAGGACCCUUCUCCAAAGACUGAUCCUUUCAGUGGGUCUGGGCUCUCACCUCUUCCCGAGCAGCUUGUGGAGAGGCUGCCCUUGGAUCGCACACCUCUUCUGAAGCUAACCCCUCUGCCAAGUCCCUGCCCCACCCUUCUAUGGCAGCCCCUCAGCGGGCGGGCAGGGAGCUGAGGCCCUGGACCUGAUCCCCACCCCCUUCACACAUGACCUUGCCCUCCUCUCUUCCCUCUUCUCUGGGCCUCUGUUUUCCCAUCUGUAUGCCAAGGAGUAUUGGCCAAAAGUUUGUUAAAACAAGCUGUGUUUAAUGAAAGGAUCUUUUGUAUUAAAGAGUAAACUUUAAAUCUCUUGGGUGCAGAACUGUCAACAAUACUAGGUUAGAGUCAAGGCAAAAUUGGAAGGGUCUGUGAGGAAGACAAACAUAGCCCUUCAGUGGAUCCCUCUUGCCUGUGGUCCCAACUCCUUAGCUUGGCCAUGGAGGCCCUGCACAGCCCUGGAAGGUGGGGGCUUGGUGUUUGUCCCUUAUCAGGCACAGUACUUGGCUGACCAGGCCUGGCAUAGAGCCUGCUGGUUGGCCGGCCAGGGGAGUAGAUAGAUGGAUGGCUCAAUCAAUCAGUCUCUAGACUCCCUAAGGAAUUAGGUGGCCUGGUCUUUCCUAGAAGGAAGGGAAUUCGGUUUGCCUCCCAAGUCUUCUCUUGGCACUUCUGAAGUGACAAUGACAGUAUUUUACAGCCUCUAGACCAAUAUUUUGAACAAAGGUCUGUGAGAAGAACCUCAUAAAAGGCUCCACAGCCUGGUGUCCUCCGUAUGGCAAAAGGUGGCUAUGUCACCUCCCCUCACUGAGCCUCAAUUUCUGCAUCUGUAAAAUGAGGCCAUUGGACUAGAUAAUCCUCAAGUUUCCUUCUAGCUCUAGCAUUGCCUUCAGAUGUCCUGGUGCCUAGAGUAGUAAUUGGACAGGGCCAUGGUGACCCCAGUAUCUGGGUCAAUCCACAUCUGGAGCAUGGAGGAAUCGUGGUGAUGGCUGCAGCCCCUGGAAGAUGAACUUGGCAGGAACUAGCUGAGUGAUUUUUCUGCUGACUGUGAAAUGUCCUGGCAGUCUAUGCAGGUAGGCUGAUGCAGGUGAGGGGUGGGGUUGGGCUCUCCCUCUCUUGUGAUUCCUGAGUAAUGUUUCCUUGCAGAAUCACAAGCCUCCGGCACUGGUGGGUGCCAGCUAGAUUCAGCCACUUAUAUUGGCAAAGUAGGUGAACCCUCUUUCCACGCUGUCCUGGCAUGGCUUCCAGAAAGGCUUUCUGCUUCCACCCCUUAAAUGCCUCACUGUGUCUCAUUGUCACCACACCUGGAAUCAUACCUUCCCAUAGCUUUCCAGUUCCCUGUACAGGUGGCCUGUUCUCGGAGAAGGUUGUGGCCCUGAAGCCUUAGUUAGCCAGGAAUAGCUUAGCUCAGAGUCAGAGCCACGAGAAGGCUUGUCCAAAACUGGGGCUCUAGCUAUUGAAAGAAAAAUAAUAAUCCAUUUUCAGCCUCACCUGAGAGCACACACCCAAAUUCAAAACUAUUUUAAAAGAUCAGAAAGGAGAUAAAAGCCCAUUAAAAACCAGGGAGAAAAGGAAUUGGAUGUUUAACAAGUGUCUGAAUGGAGGAGCCCCACUAAGCUAAAAAGCAAUGACAAAAAUGACAUAAGGAAGUGGAAGACCAACCAGUUUGACUACAUCAAAACUAAGUAUUUCCAAAGUCAAAUUUAAUAUCACAAACAGAACCAGAAAGCAGAGAUUUGCGGAUCCAUAACGUAUAAAAAGAACACAUGCAAGGGGGCUGGCCCCGUGGCCGAGUGGUAAAGUUCGCGCGCUCCGCUGCAGGCGGCCCAGUGUUUCGUUGGUUCGAAUCCUGGGCACGGACAUGGCACUGCUCAUCAAACCACGCUGAGGCAGCGUCCCACAUACCACAACUAGAGGAACCCACAACAAAGAAUAUACAACUAUGUACCGGGGGCUUUGGGGAGAAAAAGGAAAAAAUAAAAUCUUUAAAAAAAAUAAAAUAAAAAAAAAAAAAGAACACAUGCAAAACUUCAGCAGUCAAAAGGCAACAGAUAAAUAUGGAAUUCGCUUAAACAGUUUACAGAAGAGGAAAUAGAAUUGACUAAAAAUAUUUUUUUGAAAAAGUAUUCAAUUUCACUAAUAACCAAAGCUUAAUAAAAAACAAUAAAGAAAUACAAGUUUUCAGCAACAAAUUAGAAAAAAAAGUUGAAGAAUACCCAAUGCUGAUGAGAAAAUUGUGGAACAGGCACUGUUAUUCAGUGCUGAGGGAAAUGUGAAUUGGUGUAAACUUUUUGGAAAAUACGGUAAUAUGGUAGUCGAAGAGGAGAGAGAUGAAAGUUUCAAGAAAAGGCAAAUGGGCUACUUAUACAACAUUUAUUGAGUGUCUACUUUGUGUCAGGCACAGUGCUAGGUGCUAAAAUAUGAAAAUAGGUAAGAUGUGUCAUCUGCUCUUGGGCAUACAGUCAAAGAGGCAAGAAAGACACACAGACAAAUACUAAAAUGAUAUGUAGUAGGAAGAAGGUCAGAGAUACGCUUGGGUCAUGGGCAAAGCAUGGAGCAGCUGUGGGGGGUGUCCAAGUUUGAAGCUUUAUGGGAGUAUCCGGGGAGGUUCCUAGAAGAGGGACCUGGAUGAGUAGGAGUUAGUCAGGUAGAGGGCAGAGACAGAAGUGAGAAGUAUCGUGAAUGAACUCGUAGACAGUUCUGGGUUGCCAAAGCGUGAAGAGGCAGGAGAUGGAGAGGGUGCGACCAGAUCACACAAUGCCACGUCUGUCUAAUUGAAGAGUUAGGUCUUUUUCCCCUUGACACCAGGGAACCACUGAAGCAUUUUGAGCAGGCAGGUGCCGUGGUAAGAUUUCUGUUCUAGGAUGAUUACUCUGGUUACUUAGAGACAUUUGAAGGUUCGAAGGCCAAUGAGGAGGUAAUGCCUUGGUCAAGGUAGAGAGGGCAAGCCCUGAAUCUGGGAGGGGGCCAAGAGGAUGGAGAGAAGUGGCCAGAUACAGGAGGUAAAAUUAGGAGAAGCUGUUGACUGACUGAUGGCUGGGGUUAAAGAAAGAGGGUCAAGGAUACCUUCUCUGUUUCUCUCAGGUGACUGAGGGAAUGGGAGAAUACCCAGAGAAAGAGCAGGCUUGUGGGGCUGAAGGAGGAUUAUUGAGCUCAAUUUUGGGCACAUUAAGUGAAAGGUGGGCAUCCAGAUAGAGGUGGCUUGAAAGGAGCUAGGUAAAGGGUUUGGAUCCAGCAGCAGAUUAGAGCAAAAGAUUUGGGUUGUGACUGGUGGCUGUUGUAGCCAUGGGCUUCCAUGAGCUGGCCCUGGGAGAAUGUGGCAGCUGAGAAGAGAAAGGGGGUCCAGACAGAGAACCUCUCUCCCUUUUAAGGAGUGGACAGAGAGAAAGGGGAGUCCACAAAGGCAAAAAAAGAAAUCGGAAAGAGUUGGAAAAAGCACUGGAGUCUGUGUUAGCAUGGAAACCCAGGGUAUGGACUGUUUCCAGGAGAGAGUAAUCAGCAGACAAAAGAGAAUGGCCAGUUAGAUAAAGACUGAGAGCUCCCUGGGUGGAGCAAUUAGGGGGCCCCUAGAUUCUCACAGGAGCAGCUUCCUGGGAGAGAUGGGGCAGAAGCCCCCACUAGGUGGGCAGAGGAAAAGGAGAGAAGGAGAAGUCGGCAGCAUGGGCACCUGUCCUGGGAGUUUGGAACACUGGGGAGAGGCUGCUGGAGUACCGAUCUGAGUCAGGGAGAACUUCUGAGCCGUGUUGAGAGGAAGUAAGGAUAGACGUGACAGAAGAGGGGUUGAAAGGGCUGCCACCUAAAGUCCUCCUGGCUGUAUAAAUCAGAGACAAGAUCAAAGGACAAGGGUGGCGAGGAGGAAAAAUGUCCAUUGGUGACCUUGACUUGAGCUGUUGUCAAGUAGGAAAGUAUAUAUGCCAGUUUGGAGCUCACAGAGGAAGUGUGUGCAUCUCCCAAGGCGCAUAGAUGGAGAACCAGGGAUAAGCUUAAAGGAGAAGGUGCAGAGUUCCCAGAGCAGGACCGGACACUGAACCAUGACGGACGUUUUAGGGAUGGGUUCAGGAAGAGGAUCCUGCUGAAGAGACUGAGCAGGAGGGGCUGGAAGAGAAGACCAAAAAAGUGGGGGUCCUAGAAGGCCAGGGAGGGGAGAGGUUCUACAGGUCAGGGUGGCCACUGGUGGGCCAGGUGCACAGAGACCAGGGGGUUGAGGGCAUCCCCUGGACCGGCCUUUGGGGACCUUUGCCACAGCAACUGUGGGGAAGGGGCAGAAGCCCACCAUGGUGGGGGAUGAUCUGGAGUCUGGCUGAGAAAGCAGGAGGGGAGGGGGCAGCUGGGGGGACAGCAGGGUCCAGGAAGGAGCUGAGUCUCACUCGCCGACGUUUGGAGGGAGGAGGCUGCGCGAGCCCGAGAGUGGGGAGCAGGGGCAGGUAGUGAGCGGGCCGAGAACGGGGGGAUUAAGUGUAGAGGUGCGGGGAUUAGUUGUGUUGGUGGAAAAGAACAAAAUUAAAUCACAUGCAUUUUUCCGGGUAACCUGAUCUCCAUGUUCUUCUGGAGGCUUUUUCUCUGCCCUCUGGGUACUGACUACAGCUCUAAUUAGCAGUGGUUUCAUCCUGCCUCAUGUCUGGGGCCAUGUCUUCCUAGUUUUUUGUACCUUUUGGCACCUAGCAACAGGCAGCGAGCUAGGUAGAGGCAGAAUAAUUAUUCCCUGCUUGAAAUCAAAUGUCUGAAAUGGAGGUUCAGAGAAUUUUCUUUUUACCAAGAAGAGGUUAUGGGAGCUCUGGGGGAGUGAGAUUUCCAGCGAAACGAGCUGUCAGGGUAGGUAGGGAUGGAAGGGUUGGGGCUGGAAAUGUCACCAGGCUAGCCUCCUGGCGGGGCGCCGGGAGGUGUGCUCAGAGGAAGUGACCAGGAGGAAGUGCUAGGACUUCUCAGCCCAACAGGAGCCCAGCUCUUCACAGGUGACAGUGCUGCCCACGGGCCUGGCAUCACCCCUGCCUGUUCACCGCUGCCAUCCUUUGCAACAACCCCCAGUGCCCAGUCCAGCGGGUACUUUUCUCUCCUUAACUCACUCAGCCUCGGGGCAGCAUCUGACAUAGCUAAGCACCCUCUCCUGAAAGUGCCUCUCCUUGGCCUCUGUGAUGCCACAUGACACCAUUGUGCCACCAUGAUCUCCCAGUUAACAUCCACCACGCUCCUCAGCCUCCUCCACCCGCCAUCUAGGUGUUGGGCUCCCUCAAGACUCAUGUCUGGGCUCUUUCCAUCGUCCUCUGUCUUCUCACCCUGGUGAUCACUAAUGACUCCAAUUCUAUGCCCCAGCCCUGCCCUCUCAAGGCUGGCAUGCUAACUACCCAGCUGUCAAGCUGCUUGGAUGCUUCUCACAGAGAAUUUGUACGUGACCUUUGUGACUUAGCCACGUCUCACUUUAGCCAGAUGUCACCGUGCCCGUGGCCAGGUCUCUGUCUCAUUCAUUUUGGAAUCAUCCCCAGCCUGGAGCAGCUGACCAGGGACGGCUGAAUAAAAUAUUU